rnacentral:rRNA from 1 species
UACGUAGGGCGCAAGCGUUGUCCGGAAUUAUUGGGCGUAAAGAGCUCGUAGGCGGACUGUCACGUCUGCUGUGAAAGCUGGGGCUUAACCCUGGCCUUGCAGUGGAUACGGGCAGACUAGAGGUAGGUAGGGGAGAAUGGAAUUCCCGGUGUAGCGGUGAAAUGCGCAGAUAUCGGGAGGAACACCGGUGGCGAAGGCGGUUCUCUGGGCCUUACCUGACGCUGAGGAGCGAAAGCGUGGGGAGCGAACAGG